AUUCACCCCAUUUUCUGAGAGUUUAGCCAGCGAAAUAAAACUGUGCGUGCUCCCGGAAUCAACCAGUAUCAAGACCUGUAAACCAUUCCAAACUCCACGCAAACGCAUGGACUGAGAAGUUUGUGUUCCUGUGAUGGCAUGUAAAGAAAUUUCUGGGGACGGGUCCAAGUCCAUAUCUUCAUCCGAUUGCAGUUCUUCCGCCAGAUCGAUG
rnacentral:misc_RNA from 1 species